CCCAAGACUGGAUGGAAUUGGGGUGGGUGUGAGCAAAGCAGGCUGAGCAAAUCGAACCGGGGGGGGGGUGAAGCAGAGCGAUCCGGAACCGCCGUCACGGCCCGGAGCCACAGCAGGUGCAAACAGGCUGCACCGCACCGCCAGGAGAGGCGUUUUUGUGCAACUCCCUGCUAACCCGGGGAAUUCAUCACUGCAAGACAUCGCAGACGACCUGAGCAGCAUGAAAAUGGGAUGUUUAGACAACCAAGCAGUUCUGACGAGGAGGAGUGCAGGACAAGCGCAGGAGAAGCCGAGGUGCCGCCGGGUGCCACCAGGGUCCCCCCAUUCCCCGUGGCUGCUGCCAGGAUCACCCACGUGCACUCUCGGCACCAAAGGCUGCCGUCCCCAGGGCAUUUACCUGCUCGCACCCACGCACAGCCGAGCUGGCGGCGAGCUCAGGUGUUUACACCAGAUAAACGCCGACGAUCCCCGAGCCGUGGGCCCCGCUCAGCCCAAGUAUGAAAUGCGCAUUCCUGUCUUUCAUUUCCAUAUGGUUUUUAUGGGUCCUCCAUGCAGGAACCAGAGCAAAAGCCUCAUUCAGAAGCCUCCCGGCUUGGCAGAUUUAUUACCAAAUUAAGGAAGAAGGAAGCACAUCAGCUGUCUGGCCCAGGUAGAGGGAAUUAUCACUGCUUGAGAGGAACCAGACAAAGCGAAGGCUUGAGCCCUGGGAGCCUUCCCACCACGUCCAAGACAGCCUGCAAAGUUCGGAGCGGCUGUGACGAGCUUGGUGGCCCCGGUGGCCCCCGGGUGCUAGCAGGGAAGUGGCCGUGUGGCCACCGGGGCCACCCGCGGCAGGGUCGGUCCCCACAGAGCAGCGCCCGGCUCGCCGGUUAUGCAAAAUAACCGCUGCAAGCAGAAAUGCAUUUCUAUAUUUAAUAAGCUGGAUAUUUACGUUAACUAAAUAGCAGCUAAUUAUGAAAACAUACUUAAGAGUCUGAGCAAUUAAGCAAUAAUAUAUUACAUAGUUAUUAAGCCUCCAAUACACGUCUUUAAUAAUCAAAAUAUUAAUAUGCAGCUACUCUUCUAUUAUACAGCAACUCCGCUAUUAUACAGAGAGUGUCCUAUUACUGCCAAAUUAAAUGCAUAGUUAGGCGAAUUUAGGACACUUAAUUUAAUGUGUUCCCAAGAGUUCACUAUGGCAGGCUCUGCAAGACAGGCCUCCGCCGAGGUAGCCCGGGAUUCCUGGGGUCGCUCCUUACCCCAACACAUGCUUCGCCCCUGGGGGCAGCAAAGGGCCGGGGGGGCAGCCAAUUCCCAGGGGCACGUAGGAAAGAGCCCCUGUGCGGGGCCUUGGCUUUGCUUUUAGUGGAUUGGAAUGGGAACGAGAUUGCAAAGCAGAGCUGGGG
rnacentral:lncRNA from 1 species